AAACAGUAAAAAACCCGACCGUUAUUUGUCAUUGUGGUUCAAAAGUGGCUAUAUCCUCACGCAGCUUUAAAACAAAUAGCGCCAUAUCCAUUUCGACCAAUCACAACACCGUAUAAUGUGUUGGACGCCAUUUUAAAUUUAUUCAGUUGUUGUUUUGAGACAUUUAUGAGAGGUCGUAAGGAGUGUUUUAAAACGAUUUUAUUGAAAAAAUGGAUACUAAAAUAGAGAAAUUACCACCAGAAAAAACUAGAAAGAAGACAGUAUCGAAAAAACAUAUAAGACGCAAUGAAAAGACAGAAAAAUUGUAUGGUUCUCCUGGUUUACCAAUUGCACCCCACUGUUCUCACAAUAGUAAAGCUUUCCAGUGCAAUUCACUAAAAUCUAAUGAUUUUUUUUAC
rnacentral:misc_RNA from 1 species